UCGGAAUUGCUAGUAAUCGCAGAUCAGCAUGCUGCGGUGAAUACGUUCCCGGGCCUUGUACACACCGCCCGUCACACCAUGGGAGUCGGUAACACCCGAAGUCGGUAGCCUAACCGUAAGGAGGGCGCCGCCGAAGGUGGGAUUGAUGACUGGGGUGAAGUCGUAACAAGGUACC
rnacentral:rRNA from 1 species